CCGUGCACAGAGCUCGCAGAAGGUGCAGAAGUGCCUCAGCAGCUGUUCCCCACUGGCCCUGGCUUUUCAGUCUGAAAUCGUAAGGAUUAAGCAGCAGUCUGGGGAAGGGCUGGACAGGGGGCUCGAGUCUGCUGCUGCUGUGAAUGUGGGGCACAGAUAAGGCUGUUCCCAUCCCACAGGUGUGACAGGAUGGCGAGUGGAGCUUCCUGAGCACUGGUGAGUGCUUGCACCAAAGACCUGUGUUUGGGGGCUGAGUGCCUGCACCCAGCGCAUGGCUGCUCCUCCGUGGCCUUCCUGAGUUCUGCUGCAUCCUUUGACAGCAACAUCUGGUGAUGUUUCAAGUGAAGCAGAAUGAUGAAAAUAACCUCACAUGGCAGUGAAUGCUUCUGCUCUGGCAGCACUGUGCAGAUUCCAGAGCACCAGGCUUUUCACAGAAAAAGCAACGCUGGAAAAACAAGCAAACUGGAGACAACGUAUGAAGUGAUCCCUGCGGGGAGAUGUCAGACAGCGAGAGCAGACAGAGCAGUGUGAAAAGGGCUGUUCCCAGGUUACCAAAAGCAUCUGGGCCAGGAUUAUAAAGUGGUCGGCUCGUCAUGGGAGCUGGAGUCUGUCCGUGUCCGUGUGGAACUGGAAGCAUUUCCGAGUGGGAGCUGCGCGCUGCCAUCCGUCAUGCGCUCGGAUGGAGCAGAGGGAGUCAGCCCGAGACAGGGCAGCUCCUUCCUCCCUGUCUCCAGCAUUAAUCUAAAUGCCAAAACGCAGACGUGUGGAAUGCGCCGGGAGACCACCAGCCCCCAGCUCCAGAUGGCACAGGAGUGUCCCCAGGUAGCACCAGCGACUGCCCAGCGCAGGUCACAGCUCUCGGUGGUGAUUCACCCUAGAGCCACAGGGACAUCUGCUUGAACAGAGCUCCCCACGCCAGCCUUGUUGCCAGCUGUCUCCUGGACUCCAAGGGCCAUCUCCUACUAUGUGGCUGUGCAGCUUCUUGCUUGGAGCUGCUGCACUGGGCAGGCUCCCUGGCAGCAACACUGACCUGCAUCUGAGUAAAGAUUGUGCCCACUGACUGCAAGACCUGGUAUGUUCCUAGCAGGAGGUGGAAUAGGCAUGGGUUUCAGCCAGCCUUUGUCCAUAGAUGGGUACAUCAUGGUCAUGCUGGUGCAGAGAGCAAGAUGUGUGCUGGUAUGGGGGACCUGGUUCCACAUUGGAAGGGCUAACUCAGUUGCAUGAAUGCCACUAGCCAGCUGCUGUCACAGAGACUGCUGGGGUGGGGAUGUGAAGUGCAGGUCUACGAGAUGGCCACUUGCCUGGGCAAGGGCCAGUGUGUAGGUGCUGCAAAUCCAUCCCAGUGCAGCUACCCAGGAGAGGCCAGGCACAGGCUUCUCUUCUCCCCUGCCCUAACCACUGUGCCAGAGAGCAGGGCUGUGCUGGGGAGGGAAUGAUGUGACCUGUCCUUGUGUAAGCUGAAGCAGGGGACUGAAAUGCCACAUGCCCUCCGCAGAGUUUUUCCAGGGCACAGCAGAGCCAUGUGAGCCCAGGGGUUGUUGGUCUGAGUGUAUGAAAGAGCAGGAAUUUGUCUCCAGGGGCUUUCACACGAGCACUAUGGCUUUCUCCCCUCCUCCUCACACACCCCACACUCAGGCUUGUGUGUUUAGUUCCUGCUUGGCUGAGCAGAGGGACCUUGUGUACCAGAGUGAGGCCUCAGAGUGAGGAAAUGAGUUUACAAAAAGCAAGUUGGUUAGUUUUGUCCAUGGAUUUGUAUGGUGAACUGCUCACCUUCCCUCAGGAGUCCUCCCCUCCUGUAUCUUGGCCAAGGAUCACCACAGCUUGAUGCUGCACAAGGUCUCAAACGUUUAUGUUUAAACCUUUACCACUAUUGGUCUUAACAUCUGUGGGGUGCAGAGCGCUCUGGGGUUGACACAAAGUGUGGGGGAGGUGCAGAAGUUGAUAUAUUGGUUGCCAAGAGGCUGUAGUGCUGCUCUUUUAGCUUUGGACAAACAGAAGGUGGCUUGUUUGGACACAGUCGUGCCAGACAGCAGUGGUGAAACUGGGAGAGCCUGGUUUAAGUCCUCUGGAUGUUGAGCAUCAGCCAAGGAAGGAUGCUGCUGAGCGCUGUUCUGCUGACUGCAGGUGAUGAAGAGUUGAAAGGCAUCAGUGCUACUUGCUGACAGCUGCAUCUCAACGGGGUGGUGCAACUUCCCUAGAGCAGCCCCAGAGCAGUGCUGGUGGUGCUAACCCUGGGAGGUGUGGCGCAAACCCUCGCAGAGGGUGGGCCAGGGUAUCUCCUGCCAUUCAUGAGGCUGAAGAGAGGUUACACGUGUAGGUAUUUGUCCCUGUCUGGUCUCUAAUGUGCCACUGCAAAAGUCAAGAUGAUUUUGUGUACUGGGGAGUCCCUCUGGUAGGGAUGCUCUCAAGACUGAGCCUCAGGGCUUGCCAUUAGCUUGCAGAAACCUAACAAAGGGUUUAGGGACUGUGGGAAACAAAGUGGUCACCUGGUGUAAC